AGCACGGUAAUCAGGUAUUACUUAUGUCCCCAGAAGAAAAUGUGGUGAAGAAAUGCCAAACAAACAAUAAAAGUUUACUCCGCUGCUUGAUACAAUAGUCCAGAGAAGUUUUGUUGAUUUUCUAAGAAAUAAACUUGCAUAAAAGGUUCAAUAUUGCCAUGUCCUGGUCACGCUUAAUAACGUUUUGACGGUUGCAGCAAUAUUGUCUACUUACACAAGAUGGCGCGAAGUCGUCUUCGUUUUUUCAGUACGCAGUGUGUUUUCAUCUUCACCACAUUGCAAUUCACGCUAAACUGUUUGGGUUUAUGAUUAAGUAAACUAAAAAUAAUGUAUUCCGAGGGACAGCUCGAGGUGAUCUGUUCUGCAAAACUGCACCAGUUUCCCUAAAUUGUUGCUUAUCAUUCCAGCCACUACCCCAUUGCAAAUCCUCGCUCGUCUUGAGGAAGGCUGGCAGAAGCCACACAUCCAGCCUUUUGGGAACCUGUCCACACACCCAGGCUGUUCUUCCCUGCAUUGCGCUGCACAGUAUGAUCUACACUACACAGAAGAAACAGCUCUUGUCUACAGACUGCCAAAGGAGCUUGCAGUUAUUCAGGUGCAGAACAGGAGUUGUCACAUGCUCAUUGACACACAGCAUGAAGAGUAUAA